CAGCCCCCACCUCCCCUCGAAGAGUGUCACUUUCCAACUUACUCUUUUGGCCAGAUCCCGAGAGAGGAGCCUGCCCUCAUCCCUGUACGGGAGGGAGGAGAUUUCUAGGUCACAGGCUCAGCUGAAGAUUGGGCUGCAGUAUGCACUCCCUUUUCUGCCUUCUCCUGGCUACCCUCUUAGAGGCUGGUGUUGGGGCUCAGAAAAUCCACCAAUGGCCGGCCACCAAGCUACAGGUUGAAGGGAGCCGGCUUUCCCUGGAGUGUUCCGCAGAAGGGAUGUCAGAUCCCUAUCUCUACUGGUAUCACCAGCCCCUAGGUGGGGUUCUGCAGCUGCUGUCCUAUUCUAUAGGUUUAAACCAUGUGGAGGAUUCAAUGCCCCGACGUUUCUCAGGUUCAAGAUCUCAGAGUCAUUUCCAGCUCAUCUCCCAGAAGAUCCUUAUCACUGACUCAGGUUUCUAUUUCUGUGCCUGGAGCCUCACACUGAACUGAGUGAGGCAGAUAGCUGUGCAAAAACCCUUCCUUUCCUCCAAGUGCUAACAAUAUGUCCAGAUCUACUACAAGAGCCCUCCCAGACCACAUAGUGAUAGUGAUUUCUUCUCCCCUAUGACAACAGGUACUGGGCCUGAUCGAAAAAUAAGACAUACUUUUCUUUGU